rnacentral:lncRNA from 1 species
AGCCUAACAGAGAGAGAGAGGGAGAGUCUGGCUCUCAGAGCUGCUUCUCUUCUCCAUGGUCACAGGACAGCAGCUUUGGCCGUUCCACAUUGUCAUUCAUUCCUGUCCCCCACACGCGUGCCUGAUCAUACAGGAAAAUGAGUUUACAAACGACUACGCCUAUGGGACUCCCGGAGGGACACAAUGCCAGAGCCUUUACUAGCGGUGGAUGGACCCUCAAAAGGUUUGAAAGUUUGAAACUCAAGAAUAAGAGAAGAAUUACUAAGAACUCAGUAUUUUCUUCUAGCUGCUGGCUCUCCUACCACACCAAUGUCCUGUUGUAUUAAGAGGCUACACAUCUGUGCCUGUCUAACACACCUGCUAGACCUCUUGAGAGAUAUGAUUAUAUUAAUUACAAUAUAUUGAUUGAUUUCUACUUUACACGGACUGCCUGUAUUUAAUUUAAAUAUACAAUGAAGCAUAUUGAGGACACAAUUUGGAUUGUUACUGUGAUAAAUAAUUGCUAAUUGUGUCAUGAUAGAUCACCUAU